rnacentral:lncRNA from 1 species
AUAUAUAUAUAUAUGAUUAAUGUUUUAUUAAAUAUUUUAUAUCGAGCAAUAUUUCCUAAGUCAUGACUGACUCUUGCCUAACAUAAGAAUAAAUAUCUUUUCCUAUUAACAUUUUAGUAGUUGAAAAAAAUGUCAGAUAAUACAUUGAGAAAUUUCUUCAAGCCAGGAUUACAUAUUAAAAAAAUCUAGAAUUUUAAUCAAAGUUUGUCGUCUUGGUGUCGGACCCCGUACCGGUGCUAUACUAGCACGGUAUCGGUACAAUACGGUACAAAAUUUUUUUGACAUACCAAAUGUCGGUACGCCACUCAUACCGGUAACCUUCAUUUUAAUAAUUAUUUUUAUAAAUUUAAAAUAUAUAAAUUUGUAUUGAUGUUUAACAGGAGCUUUCAUCCUUCCACUUUUUAGACAUUGUUGCUUUCUCGCACCAACACUCACUUCUAGCUACUUAAAGCCAAACUUUUUAUAGGAAUAAGGGCAUGUUGAGCGUUGCAUCUACUUUUUAAUAGUCAUUCCCAAGAAGUGUUUUCAUUUAAGUUCUUAAACAUAAAGCACUUUUUUGUAUAUUGGGAGUUUGGUAAUCAGAUAUUAUGAAACUACACUUUAUGGAUGGGCUUAUCACAUAUGAAAGAUAAGGAACAAACUUGCAAGUAGAAACCAAAAGCUAGUUUUUCUAGCUUCUCAUAAAAGCCACUUUUUUGCUUGUACUUCUCUAUAAGAAGCAUUUUGUAAAUAAUGUCGCCAAACACAUAUCCUUUUUAGAGAACACCUUUUUUAUUUUAUAAGUCACAAAAGGACUUCUUUUAAAGCACCACCAAAUGUGCCCUCAACCUAAAUCCAAUUUAUGGCUCGCAUAGAUGGACGAAACUUCUACUACACAGAGACAAACAUUGUGAACCUUGCCACUCCUAAGCAAGCUAUUCUACCUAUUUUGCUUGAAUCCAUCGGUGCCUAAGUAAAUGCUUCUUCACAAUAGAUCAAUUAUCCAGGUCAUCCCAAUUUAAGGAGUUGAUAAGAUCAAAAAGAUGGGCGCUUCCACUUUUCUUCAUCAAAAUAGCCUCUAUAUGAGUUAAAAUCAAUAACAAAAAAUGAAAAAUGAUUUGAACAUAGUUGAUAGUCAACAAGUUGUGACUACGUAUGAUAAUGCAGAGUGAACAUUUAUGAAUUAGAUAUAAUUUUUAUUCAGAGGAGGCUCAACAUCUCCAAAUUAAUCAACCACUAGAAGUUAGAAUAAUCUUUCUUUUGGUGUUUAUGUUUUUGAAGAAAACAGAUUUUGUCCAAGUACAAAAUCAAGGCAUUUUAAAGUUGAAGUUUUCUUUGAGGCGAUUAAAAAGUUUGAGCUCAGAGAAGGAGCUCACGAUAAAAGAAAGGAUAAUCACAAAAUUGAUUAAAUCAAGCUAUCUUCUCUACGUAAAAUUUCCAAUUCUAAAUUUUAGUGAUCUCCAAUUCUCCAAUCCAUUUAAAUAAAGGUCCAAAUAUGUAACUUCCUUCACCAAAAAACUUCCAAAUCUCAAAUUAAACUGUAGGAUACAAGUAGA